AGAGUUUGAUCCUGGCUCAGGAUGAACGCUAGCGGCAGGCCUAAUACAUGCAAGUCGAACGGUGUCGCAAGACACAGUGGCGCACGGGUGCGUAACGCGUAUGCAACCUACCUGUAAGCGGGGGAUAGCCCGUCGAAAGACGGAUUAAUACCCCAUAAUAUAAUUGGAUGCAUCAUUUGAUUAUUAAACAUUUAUGGUUUACAGAUGGGCAUGCGUAAGAUUAGCUAGUUGGUGAGGUAGCAGCUCACCAAGGCGAUGAUCUUUAGGGGUUCUGAGAGGAAGAUCCCCCACACUGGUACUGAGAUACGGACCAGACUCCUACGGGAGGCAGCAGUAGGGAAUAUUGGGCAAUGGAGGCAACUCUGACCCAGCCAUGCCGCGUGCAGGAAGAAGGCCUUCUGGGUUGUAAACUGCUUUUGGAAGGGAACAAAACGCCUUGCGAGGCAACUUGAGUGUACCUUCAGAAUAAGCACCGGCUAACUCCGUGCCAGCAGCCGCGGUAAUACGGAGGGUGCAAGCGUUGUCCGGAUUUAUUGGGUUUAAAGGGUGCGUAGGCGGCCUAUUAAGUCAGGGGUGAAAGACUGCAGCUUAACUGUAGCAGUGCCUUUGAUACUGAUGGGCUUGAGUACAGAUGAGGCUGGCGGAAUGGGUGGUGUAGCGGUGAAAUGCAUAGAUACCAUCCAGAACACCGAUUGCGAAGGCAGCCGGCUAAACUGUAACUGACGCUGAGGCACGAAAGCGUGGGGAUCGAACAGGAUUAGAUACCCUAGUAGUCC
rnacentral:rRNA from 1 species